UACGUAGGGUGCGAGCGUUAAUCGGAAUUACUGGGCGUAAAGCGUGCGCAGGCGGUUUGUUAAGACAGGUGUGAAAUCCCCGGGCUUAACCUGGGAAUGGCGCUUGUUACUGGCAAGCUAGAGUGUGUCAGAGGGAGGUAGAAUUCCACGUGUAGCAGUGAAAUGCGUAGAGAUGUGGAGGAAUACCGAUGGCGAAGGCAGCCUCCUGGGAUAACACUGACGCUCAUGCACGAAAGCGUGGGGAGCAAACAGG
rnacentral:rRNA from 1 species